CACACAUAUCACCUGUCUAAUGUUAUGAGCAAAUGUUUUUUACAGAGCUCAGAGGUCUGAAGUAGCUCCUGGUGUGAGUUAGAGGGUCUAAAGCGCAGCAUAAGGUUUCUGACUGAGCAACAUUUGAAGUGUCAGCCCUCAUCACAGACAGAAAUCAGCAGGUUGCCAAGUGGGUGCGGGAGGAGUCCAAAAGGAACAAACCAUUUUUUUGACAUCUGGCAUAUUGGCAAAAGUCUAGGGAAAGCUUUGGAUGCUGCUGCAAAGGGGAGGGAUUGUGAAGAUCUGAAGCUUUGGAGGCCAGCUGUUAUUAACCACCUCUACUGGACUGCAGCUUCCACUCCUGAUGGAGAUGCAGAUGUGAUGGAGGACAAGUGGAAAAGUAUGAUCAACCAUGUUCAGGACAUCCACGAACAUGGCACUCCUACAUUUCCCUGCUGUGCACAUCCACCUCUGGAGGGAGAAGCAAGGAACAAGGAGUACAGAUCUAGUGUAGCAGUUAAACUGGAGAGUGAAGCUACUAGAACAGCGCUGGUAAAGGCUGUUCGGCAGUUGUCCUCACAGCAUCAGACCUUUUCACUGGAGGCGUUUCAUUCCCUCUUCCUGCAUUUUGCUCCAAAGCACACUGGGUUCUCCUUCCUUGGGAUGUACAGCAGGUGAGUAUGUGACGGUGAAAGAAUGAGUACUUUCUGAAACUAAUGCAGUCUAACACAGCAGAGCAACUUUCAUUAAAUGUGCAGUAAUUGAUGCUGCGCAAAGAUUGUUAACGUUUGAACAAUAGUAUCUCAUACCACUCUCAUAAAUGAAUAUUAAGUUGAAUCAUCACCACUUGAAACAGCUUGAACAAAAAACAUUACAACCUUUAUGACAAUACAAUUCAGAGCUGUAUUAUCUUGGUAAACCCUAUUAACGGGGACCAGGAUUUAUUCUAUUUGUAUAUUCUGUCCUGUCGAUGAGUAAUGGAAAUUUUUAGUCACAUCGCCUUAACUCACUAUACAAGAAGAAAUUUCUCUAUGUUGUUUUUACUUCUGGGUUUAUUCACAUAUGCA